AGCAGGUCUCCAGGGCCUGAGUACCUCUGGGUGAGCCGACAACACUGGAUUUCCACAGUAGAGGCACAGACCCUGGAGGGACGGGGUGACUCCACUCAGGUGCAGGCCACUCUAGCACAGUCAACCAUCGGCCUCUGCAGCAGAAGACUUUGCACAUGGAGGAGACUUCGAUAUUCAUGAGUGAACAAAAUCUAAGGCUGUGCAAAGGUACAGUACACGAGGGGAACAGAUUUCCACCCCAGGGUUCACAGCAGCAGUUUACAAUAGCCAAGACACGGAAGCAACCUAAGUGCCCGUCCACAGAUGCAUGGAGAAAGAAGGCAGCUGCACCGCCUGUUACCUUCUCAUCACCCAACAGAGCAGGCUUUCAAUGAAGGACAGCUGAAGCAG